UAUCUUCCAAGCCACGCAGGAGCCGUCGAGGAAAUUCUUCCUCGAUGGUGAAACGGGAACGCGGUGCGGCGCCAACAGGUGCCUCAAGCCGCGACUGCCCCCGCAACGGUAGGUGAGUGUGGUUCCGUCAUCCGUGCCACUGGCGCGCAAGCGCUGGGAAGGCGACGGGACAUGACUUGCGAGUCCGGAGACCGACCUGCGUGCCGCGCCGUGCC
rnacentral:ncRNA from 1 species